GGUUGUGUAGUGUAGUGGUUAGCACGUGGGAUUUUGACAUCAACCAAUUACUGGUUGAAACAUUCCUGAGUCCCCGGUUCGAACCCGGGCACGACCU